rnacentral:misc_RNA from 1 species
GCGAUGGGCUGAGGGAGACACCCAUCCAGUGACACUGUUUACAUCCUACGCUUCUAAUCUUUUGUGGAUGUGUAGAGGCUUCAGUGAAAUUUUGGAAUAGGCAAUGGCAGGAGCAAAUAAUAUACCUCGUGAGGUUCAGGAUAGCAUACGCGAUGUACUGGAUCAAAGGAUUAAGAUAUGUGUCAAACGCAUGGUGAAACAAGAAGUUCGUGCAGACAAGUUCGAAAAUCGUGUAUUGGCUUUUACACCAUGCAGACUGUAUGUAUUGGCAUCCAAAGUUCCAUCCAGGGUGGAACACAAUUUUCACUUUCUCGAUUUUCAAGCCUUGGAAAGCAAGAAACCCAAUCAGUUAGCCAUUACAGUGGAUGGAAAAGUGUAUUCUUUCACAACUCUGGAGGCAGACACAGAAGAGGUCAACCACAUGAUAACCCAUAUUGGGGUUUCACUGAAACACAUCUUCCCAGCCUUUCCUUUAGAGAGACUGAUCAUAAAAGUUGAAGUGUUGCCCCCAGAACGUCUCCGAACCAUGCAUGAGAUGAUUCGAGACAUUGAAAAUCGUGAAGUGGGACCUUGUGGAGGGUUUACAACCAUGUAUGCAUGCAUGUGUGAUUACUACAGUCUUCCAUAUAGAGAGGAAGUUGCUUGGGAUGUGGACACAAUCUACCUUUCCCAGGAUUCCCGAGAACUGUGCCUACGAGACUUUGAUCACUUAAAAGAAAAAGAUCUUAUUCCCAUCAUAGGUGCUUUGGAACAUAACACUUGGUUUACCGGCAUAAAUGUGAAUAGUAUUAAGUUGACUCCAGAGAUGGCCAAUGAGAUUGUGAAAGUGAUGCGUCGAAAUGCGUUCAUAGAGGAAUUAAAAUUUUCCAACACUGGUGUUAAAGUUGACUUUGUACAGAAGUUGUCCACAGCCAUACUUUCUAACAGUGGGACCCAGCUUGGACUGCUUGAUCUCUCAGGCAAUACUAUUGAAGAUAGAGGAGCUACAUCAUUGAUGGGGACAUUGAAGAGCUUGUCCAGAGGCUUGAAUUACCUUGACCUUUCUCGCACUGGGUUAACAACAAAGUGCAUUGCAAAGAUCGCAGAAACACUGUCACAGAGCCAGACUCUUCUAACAUCACUCAGAACACUGAAAUUUGCAGAUAAUGGACAGAAAGGGGAAGAUUUUUCUAGUGUCUACAGCUUCUUGGCCCAGCCUAACAAUCUGACAACUUUAGACCUGUCAGGCACAGAUUGUGCAAUGGAUAAUCUCUGUAGCCCUCUGAUACAUGGAUGUCCCCAUCUUACUGCACUCAGCCUUGCUGGGACUGUGUUCACUCAAAAGAAAACUAAGGAAGUGUUAGUUCCAGUGUCAUGGAAACAGUAUUUCGCCAGUGCUUGCAGUCUGCAGAAAUUGGAUCUUUCAGCAACUAGACUACCUCCAGAGGCUCUUAAGGAACUCCUGCUUGGUUUGGCAAGCAAUCCUCACAUCCGCAAUGUUGAGCUUGACCUCAGCAGCAACGAGCUCGGCAGUGCAGGGGCUCAUGUGAUUGGGGGCUGCAUAGCCAACAUUACUUCCCUUGCUCGCUUAGACCUCAGCAACAACAAUUUUGACACAGAUCUGAGAGUGAUCUUGCCAGAAAUUGCCAAAAACAGGCACCUGAAGCAUUUAUCCAUUGGAAGGAACUUUAGCAUGAUCAAACCCAAAUACAUGAUGCACAUUAUGGAUGGUCUGGUACAACUCAUUCAGGAAGAUGCAUCAGUUCUGGAAUCUUUGUCCUUGGCUGAAUCUAAACUGAAGCAUGAUUUAACUUUUGUCAUCAAUGCUUUGGGUAGCAACACAUCACUGCAAGAAAUUGACAUCAGUGGAAACAAUAUAGGAGACUUUGGUGCACGAAUGCUGUGUAAAGCACUCCAAAUCAACACUCAUCUACAGGCAGUGGUAUGGGACAAAAAUGGAGUCACAGCUCAGGGAUUUGAAGAUAUUGCUGAAGCAUUGGAAAAAAAUUUCACAAUGAAGCGGAUGCCAUUUCCUGUAAAUGAUGCUGCGGCUGCCAUGAGAUUGCAGCCAGAACGGACAGAGGCUGCUUUACAGAAGGUUGAGAGACUGCUGCAGCGUAACCAUAGCCCUCGCAAGUUUGCAUCAGAUCAGCAAUAUCGUUUGCAACAGGGAUUCCUCAUCAGUUCCACACAGCAGAUGGUAGAUCGUCUCUGUGUACAAGUGCAAGAUGAAAUUAACGCCCUCACUGUGAACAAUUCUGAAACUCUGAAGGAAGAGCUUGAUCAAGCAAGCAAAGUUAUUAAAGAUGCUGACAACUCAAAACAGCUGCUGCCCAGACUUCAGGUGGUAGGAGUUCAGAUGUUGGACUCUGGAGACACAGUGGAGACUACACUUCAAACCAUGGCAGAGAGUCUCAAAACUGUCAUGGAACAGAUUAUUCAGAAAACUGUAGAAGACAUGCUGAAGUGUACACUAAAUCACUGUGCUGGAAUUAUGGCUGAUAAAGAUUUUGCAAAAGAACUAGAAGCUGAGUGUAGAGCCAAAAGCACUCUUCCACGAGAAUUUGCCAAACUGCUGUUGAAUGGUGUGAGCACAGAUGUCUUCAACAAAUUGAAUGAAUUAAACCUUGGUGUGGCAGCACAUAUAUCUGACAGUGUUAUUGACGAAGUCAUCAGCAAACUUUCAGAUAGCCACAAAAGCCUGACUAAUCACUUGAACCUUACCAAGAGUCGACGCUUUCAAGAUUCAGCACAGGCUGUGGACCAGCCUGAAAAGACAGACACAGAUAAUGAGAAGGAAAAAGAUGAGAGAAAUGCAGGUCGUGGUGUGGAAAUGCGACCUCGCAUAAACAGCCAGCCAUUUUAUAUGCUGCCAUCGGAAUUUUAUAGUGGCAUGAAGAGUGUGAAGAACACCCUGGAAGCCAUCAUGAAAGGGUUUGUGGUGAGAGGGUUGACACAUACACACAUGGGAACACCAAAACUUUCAACAAAGCGCAAGAGUGUAUAUUCACGAAAACUUCGACCUCAGUCAACCAUUGAUUGUGGCAAUGCAUCUAAACAGCUUGACUCUGGUAGCCUGGCAGAGACUUUGGAAGAAACUCUUUGCGAAAGUAGGCUGAGCAUGCAUGAAGAAGCAGAUGAAGAUCAAGAUUCCAGGCCUUGUCCACCAAGGCUGGAAAAGGUUACAGAGAUUCAGAACAGAGAUUUGGCAAAAGGUUCCUUUGAGGCCCUUGACAAUUUACCGGAACUGCCAGUGCAGAAACUGGAACAUCUGAACAAGGCACGACCUAAGAGAAACAAAUCUCGAGCCCCUACACGUCCAGUGGCACCAGGAAUAGACACACCUGAUGAAAUCUCUGAUGAUGGAAUCAAUGCAUUCUAUGAUACAAAGAGAACCAGUCCUGAAGACGUGAUCAAGGAUACAUUUGUGGCCACUUUACAAGUGGAAGAUAGCAGCAGCAAGGUUGAGAAAAAGAAGGGAUCACCAUUGGCUAAAACCAAGCCUCAAAAGGGACAGGGAAAAGACGAUAAAGAAAAGGAAAAGAAAGACAAAGGGUCAUUUUCUGGUAUCAGUAAUUUCUUUCGCAAAGGCCCCAGUAAGGUAGAAGCGCGGGAGAAAAAGCAAGAACUUCCAAGAACACAGGAAAAUACAAGAGUGUACUCAAGAACAAGCAAAACAAUUUUAGACAAAAAAGACAGUCCUGAUUCAGCACACGUCCCAGCAACACAGUCAGCAAAGACAGAGAGCAAGACAAUGUUGGAAUCACCUAGAGUGUUGUUGCCACCAAAAGUGUCUGAAGACAUCAUAAAUCUUGACCCCAAGACUGAUGCCAGGCCCAGGCCACCUGUGGAAGUAAAGAAACCACCUGCUGUUAGUAAAGGAGAGGCCCACAACCUGGAAUCUAAAUCCUCUGAAUCUGAAGAGAGUGAUGAAGAGAAAACAGACGAGGAUGAUUUGGAAAAUAUUGGAACAAGAACAGCUUCAGCAAAGGGGGAUGAACAGCAAGGCAAAGAAACAGUGGAAGGGAAAAGCCAGGAGGUACCUGUACGAGUUGCAAAACAUGUCGGCUUCAGUGCAACUAUAUUAGCUGAUUUCAAGGCCAAGCAGGAAAAACGUGCCUCCCAGCUGUCACUUACAUCAGACAAUGGAAAAGAUACUAAAGAAAGCACAGUUAAGUCAGAACCAUCUGAACGUAAGGAAGAAGCGAACAACAACACUGUAAUUAAUGAAAAAGGACUUGCGGCCAAAGGAGAGAUGACAGCAAAGCAGGGAGAUGAAGCUGCUUCCAGACAACCUUUAAAGCAACUAGGUGGAGAGACCAGUGCAUUACUGAAGCCAAGAGCAUUGAUGCCACCAAAGAAGCCAGUUGCUACAGUUACAGUGUCGUUGGAAAAGGGGGAAGUAUUGAAGCCACCUUCAGCACCAGAAUCUUCAGCAUCAGUGCCUGCGGUGGGAACCGGAGAGACACCAGUUCCAAAACCAAGACCACCUCCUCCUGCAAAGCCAAAGCCACCACUAACUGCUCCAAAGCCCCGCCUGUCGUCUGGUACUAACUCUGAAGAAGAUUCAGUCCCCACUAUUGCAACUUCAGGCAGCAUCUCAAACGCAGGAGAGAGGAGAGCGGAGGGAGAAAUAGUCUACGACUCCUCAACUUUGCGGCUGUCAGUUAAAGACAAGAUUAAACGAUUGAGCCAGGUGAAACUGCAGCCACCAUCAGCACCUCCUGCACAGCUAAAGACACCAUCCUUGCAGAAGGAUGUGAACUUGCCAGACAGUAUUUCAGGGGACCUUGAUCAAGGCUUAAAUUUGCUCAAGAACCUUGUCUUUCAAUUGCCAUCUGACUUUGCUGUGUAAUGACCAUUUCUGUCUUGGCUUUUGUGAAUGCUGAUCCAUCAGGAAUGAGCUAAGACAUGGUUUGGGCUCUGGUGAAGCAGAUGAACACCAGUCAGAAGAAGAGACCUCCAGACCAAGCAGUAUUGAGGAUGCUGAUGGCAGGCCGGCCGACAGCCAGGUGUCUGCACAAGCAGGGGAGCAAGGGGCAGCAGUCAAUGGGAAGAAGUCAGCU